UACGAAGGGGGCUAGCGUUGCUCGGAAUCACUGGGCGUAAAGGGUGCGUAGGCGGGUCUUUAAGUCAGGGGUGAAAUCCUGGAGCUCAACUCCAGAACUGCCUUUGAUACUGAGGAUCUUGAGUUCGGGAGAGGUGAGUGGAACUGCGAGUGUAGAGGUGAAAUUCGUAGAUAUUCGCAAGAACACCAGUGGCGAAGGCGGCUCACUGGCCCGUAACUGACGCUGAGACUCGAAAGCGUGGGGAGCAAACAGG
rnacentral:rRNA from 1 species